rnacentral:rRNA from 1 species
UUCUGAAUGUAAAUAAAUAAAGUACCGGGGGACUACGAGCCAAAGUUGCUUAAAACCCAAAAGGCUUGGCGGUGCUGAUUCAUUUUUUAGGGGAGCUUGCUUCAUAAGCGAUGAUCCACGAUAAACCUUACCUCUCAUUAAUAAUGUCUGUAUACCGUCGUCAUCAGCCUACUUUGAAGAAAAACAGAAUUAGGCGGGAUUGUAGAAAACUAAUAUUCAAUAUAGAACUUAUUUAGUAACCUAAUAUGAAUAAAGUGGUGGCUUUACCAAAUACAACUAUGUCAGAUCGAGGUGCAGCUAGUGGGGAGGUGGUAGUGAGCUACAUUGGAGACAACCUAUAAUACAGAGUCCGCUCUGGAAGAAGCGUGAUGAAGGUGGACUUAAAAGUAAAGAGGUAAUUAGACAAACCUCUUGAAUAAUACGAACAGUGCGUACAUAUCGCCCGUCGCUCUCGUCAAAAGAUGAGAUAAGUCGUAACAUAGUAGGGGUACUGGAAAGUGUUCCU